UUGGAGGGCAAGUCUGGUGCCAGCAGCCGCGGUAAUUCCAGCUCCAAUAGCGUAUAUUAAAGUUGUUGCAGUUAAAAAGCUCGUAGUUGAAUUUCGGGAUUCUACCGUUGGUCGGGCUAACAAGUCUGUACUGGUGUGUAGAAUUUCUACCUUCUGGGGAACUAUCAUGUUAUUAAUUUAGCGUGGUGGGAAACCAGGACCUUUACCUUGAAAAAAUUAGAGUGUUCAAAGCAGGCUUACAGUCUGAAUACAUUAGCAUGGAAUAAUAGAGUAGGACGGUGGUCCUGUUUUGUUGGUUUCUGAAUCACCGUAAUGAUUAAUAGGGAUAGUUGGGGGCAUUAGUAUUCAAUUGUCAGAGGUGAAAUUCUUGGAUUUAUUGAAGACUAACUUCUGCGAAAGCAUUUGCCAAGGAUGUUUUCAUUAAUCAAGAACGAAAGUUAGGGGAUCGAAGACGAUCAGAUACCGUCAUAGUCUUAGCCAUAAACUAUGCCGACUAGGGAUCGGACGAUGUUAAAUUUUAUUGACUCGUUCGGCGCCUUACGGGAAAC
rnacentral:rRNA from 1 species